UACGAAGGGGGCUAGCGUUGCUCGGAAUCACUGGGCGUAAAGGGCGCGUAGGCGGCCGGCCAAGUCGGGGUGAAAGCCUGUGGCUCAACCACAGAAUGGCCCUCGAUACUGGCUGGCUCGAGACCGGAAGAGGUUGGUGGAAUUGCGAGUGUAGAGGUGAAAUUCGUAGAUAUUCGCAAGAACACCGGUGGCGAAGGCGGCCAACUGGUCCGGAUCUGACGCUGAGGCGCGAAGCGUGGGAGCAAACAGGAUUGAGAACCCGAGGGUAGUCCAAGCAACCGA
rnacentral:rRNA from 1 species